UACGUAGGGUGCGAGCGUUAAUCGGAAUUACUGGGCGUAAAGCGUGCGCAGGCGGUUUUGUAAGCCAGGUGGGAAAUCCCCGGGCUUAACCUGGGAAUGGCAUUUGGGACUGCAAGGCUUGAGUGCGGCAGAGGAGACUAGAAUUCCUGGUGUAGCAGUGAAAUGCGUAGAUAUCUGGAGGAACACCGGUGGCGAAGGCGGCAUCCUGGACCAACACUGACGCUGAGGAGCGAAAGCCAGGGGAGCAAACGGG
rnacentral:rRNA from 1 species